UACGAAGGGGGCUAGCGUUGUUCGGAAUUACUGGGCGUAAAGGGCGCGUAGGCGGCGUGUCAAGUCAGGCGUGAAAGCCCCGGGCUCAACCUGGGAACCGCGCCUGAGACUGGCAUGCUCGAGUUCGGGAGAGGAUGGUGGAAUUCCCAGUGUAGAGGUGAAAUUCGUAGAUAUUGGGAAGAACACCGAUGGCGAAGGCAGCCAUCUGGACCGACACUGACGCUGAGGCGCGAAAGCGUGGGGAGCAAACAGG
rnacentral:rRNA from 1 species